rnacentral:rRNA from 1 species
UACGUAGGGUCCGAGCGUUGUCCGGAAUUACUGGGCGUAAAGAGCUCGUAGGCGGUCUGUUGCGUCGGCUGUGAAAACCCGGGGCUCAACCCCGGGCCUGCAGCCGAUACGGGCAGACUAGAGUUCGGCAGGGGAGACUGGAAUUCCUGGUGUAGCGGUGAAAUGCGCAGAUAUCAGGAAGAACACCCGUGGCGAAGGCGGUUCUCUGGGACGGUACUGACGCUGAGACGCGAAAGCGUGGGGAGCGAACAGG